rnacentral:rRNA from 1 species
GUGGGGAAUCUUCCGCAAUGGACGAAAGUCUGACGGAGCAACGCCGCGUGAGUGAUGAAGGUCUUCGGAUUGUAAAGCUCUGUUAAUCGGGACGAAAGAGCCUAGUGUGAAUAAUGCUAGGAAGUGACGGUACCGGAAUAGAAAGCCACGGCUAACUACGUGCCAGCAGCCGCGGUAAUACGUAGGUGGCAAGCGUUGUCCGGAAUUAUUGGGCGUAAAGCGCGCGCAGGCGGAUCUGCCAGUCUGUCUUAAAAGUUCGGGGCUUAACCCCGUGAUGGGAUGGAAACUACAGAUCUAGAGUAUCGGAGAGGAAAGUGGAAUUCCUAGUGUAGCGGUGAAAUGCGUAGAUAUUAGGAAGAACACCAGUGGCGAAGGCGACUUUCUGGACGAUGUCUGACGCUGAGGCGCGAAAGCUAGGGGAGCGAACGGGAUUAGAAACCCCGGUAGUCC